rnacentral:snoRNA from 1 species
AUCCCAUGAUGAGGACACUUAUGAAGUAACUCCUUGAAUCACUCCCAACCCUCAUACAAAGACUCGUCACCCAAUUCUUGUGGUAAAUACUUAACCAAAAAUCUCCUUGCUAAUUCU